rnacentral:rRNA from 1 species
GAGAGGUCGCGGCCACACUGGGACUGAGACACGGCCCAGACUCCUACGGAAGGCAGCAG